CAGUAGCCGCGGUAAUACGAGGGGGGCAAGCGUUGUUCGGAAUUACUGGGCGUAAAGCGUACGUAGGCGGCUUUGUAAGUUAGAGGUGAAAGCCCGGGGCUCAACCCCGGAAUUGCCUUUAAGACUGCAUCGCUUGAAUCGCGAGAGGUGAGUGGAAUUCCGAGUGUAGAGGUGAAAUUCGUAGAUAUUCGGAAGAACACCAGUGGCAAAGGCGGCUCACUGGACGCGUAUUGACGCUGAGGUACGAAAGCGUGGGGAGCAAACAGGAUUAGAUACCCGCGUAGUCCCUGUCUCUUAUACC
rnacentral:rRNA from 1 species